GAGGUUGUGGCUCAGUGGUAGAGUGCUUGCCUACCAUGAAUGAGGAACUGGGUUCUAUUCUUAGAACCACA
rnacentral:tRNA from 1 species